UGACUACUGAAGAGUCCCAUACUAGGACGAAACAAGCGUCCAGUUA
rnacentral:hammerhead_ribozyme from 1 species